GUGUUCAUUUCGGCAGCACGUAUACUAAAAAUGGAAUGAUACAGAGAAGACUAGCAUGGCCCCUGUGCAAGGCUGACAUGCAAAUUUUUGAAGCUUUCCAUAUUUUU